ACGUGACCUGGCCCGUGGAUGCUCGUUUUCGUUUCGAGGUGGAAGACAAGCUGAAACAGCAACAAAAACGCAUCCGCACACGCCCACUACUGCCUCCACCUCCUCUCCCGGACACGACACUGGGCUGCGCUUCACCAGCAGCCAUCUGACCGCCACAGCCUCUCUCCCUGCUCCUGCCCCCCUCCCCCCAUGUUUUCCUUUCCGGCGCCCUGCGUGUGAGAUGCUCACCUCCUUCGCAGAGGCAGUCGGAUAGACGACAUCUUCGUCGGCACUCCUCGUUGCCAUCCAAACACGCUCGCAGAAGCUAACUGCACGACAGGAAAAGCUCCGCUCCUCUUCACUACACAACUUAUUCAUGCCUAUGACGGAAAAGGCCGUGUCUUCGACAGAGAGUGCUACCGACGAACUCGCACGCUCUCGCUUGAUUCUCUCCUUGCCACUUCGACGUCCUACGCCAGCGAGCGCGUGUACGCCGGUGCCUGCGGAAAAGAAUCGGAUACUCGCAAGUCCAUCAGUGCCGCAUUCCAUUGAUCCCCCACUCCACUCCGAGCCCUGUCUCACGCGAUAGGAGCAUUCCGUAUGCAGAUGAUGGUCUCGGUGACGCAGGGAGGAGGAGUGGGGCUCAUCCGUUGAGUUUGCGAUGGGCGGAUCCCAGAAAAGGAGCUGUGCAGGGGGGCUUCUCGUGCAUGGCCAAGCCUUGCAGCCGCGGAGUUCAACACCGAUAGCUCCAGCUAAGGAUGGCACCCCCCGUAAACUUCGAAGACUGGGGAACGGGCGGAUAUCCUACUGUGCACGUGGGGAUUCUGAUUACGGAUGAUGCAAUCAUUCAUGCUGCUGAGGAACAGGUUGCAGGUGUCAGAGGAGUAUGUCCGUCACCUCGAGGACCCGGCACACAGCAUCUGCCUCGAAGCGGCUCUCAGCAAAUCGGUGGAGGGCGCCCGCGCCCGCUGCUGGGAAACGAAGCGGAUGCUCACGUGGGCCUCACUGAGUACUCAAACCUUGUCCAGAUCGUGAGGACCAGUGCGUACACCGCAGACACAUACACGAUGCAGACCCUCGUUGUCGUCCCCUCGACGAUCUACGGUGUCUUAUUCAACGGGCGCGACAUGAAGUCUCCAGAGAACCGCAACACUGCGUUGGUCUUGAAGAGAGCCUUCGACUCUCUCCUCACUCCGGCACAGCUCUCGCGCGUGCUCACCCUCUGCAGCGAAAGCUCUCGGUACGAGCGGGCAAUGGGCCCUGUGAGCCCUGAUGCGCGGCCGCGAGCAGGAGCAUGAGACGGUGAGACGGGACGAAGAGAGCCCACGCCCGCAGAGCAGCGGGAAAUCAGGGUGCCACCACAGGCACACGAUGGGGGCACGGCCCCGCCGACCGUUUAAGCGCGCCGCACACAUGAGGCGCCUUUUGUUUUCUUGUCUGCUGGAGCUGCGGCUCACCUUUAUUUGGAUGGCGCCUCUGCAACCGCUGCUGUCCUCACGGGCUACCUCCGCACAGUCCUGCCGUCAACGCAUAGCUCAAUGACUGCAUACCUCCUCUGCCACACCUGAUCCUCGGCUCGUUACACACAAUGCGGCGAAACGUCCGCCGGCGGGCCGAGUUGCGAUCCGGUAUACCGAGCUCCAAGAGACACAACUGGCGACACGGGGGAUGUGCGACAUGUAACUGGAAGGGUGGGUGGCUCCGCACUCUCGUCCGUGCAUGCACAAGCGCAGGCGGUGCGCGCGCGCCGACACGCCCUUGUAUGAAAAAGGCGCGCUCUGUGCCAUCCCGGUAUGGUCCUCGGUGUAAGCGGCUCGGCCGCACCCCCCCCCCCCCCCUCCCCAAAGAGGUCGGUCCGACUGGGACGAAUGUGCCGACUCGCUUAAUGGCCUGCGUGCAACACCCCCCUUGCCCCCUUCCCUCUCACGCUGAGGAAGGAAAGGGCGUAUUCAUGUACGCACACGAGUGCAGGCUGCUCGUUCAGCUUAGAGAAGUG
rnacentral:misc_RNA from 1 species